rnacentral:sRNA from 1 species
UCUGUGGGCAUAACAUGUUGCAGAUUUCAGUUCGUGCGACGAUGAACUUCUCCUUCGUUUCCCCGGAUUGCUCUCUGGUCAGAUUAUUCAGAUUAGCCAGGAGUCAAUAACUACAUUACGGAGUACUACCAACGCCCUCCCUGCAGAAUCAGGACUUCUCCCUUGGCCCACCCCCAAAGGACGCAUCAAUGCAUCAAUGCAUCAAUGCAUCAAUGACUCCGAAUCUGUAUAGCUUUGCUAUUAUGCUACAGAAACAAAAGACAAACAAACAGGUGCUGAGAUCCUGCUCCCGCUCAACGCAGCACCAGACAAUGAAUAAUAAAUAUCCCAACAAACAAAGAACCCGUCAAUGCUCUC